CGUGGUGCCAGACGUGUGGAGGAAGAGUGCCACGUCGGAAGCGUCGUUGACGAGUUGCAAGACCGAGUCGGGGCUCGACUCGGCGGUGGAAGAGAGAGUCACGUGGCUGGUGGCGCCGGCCAGCUUGGCGGUCACGUGAGGGAUGUUGAGCUUGGUGGCCGCCGCUUUAGCCGCUAGAAUCGGAUUCUCCGGCGUGAUCAGAAGCUUCGAUUCUGAGUCGGAGAGGUAGAACUCGAACUCCUCAGCCGUGUAAGCCGCGUUCAGCGGCACCGCCGUUGCUCGGCACCGAAUCACCGCCAAAAACAGCACGACAAGCUACAGAAACAAACACAAUCUUAUUUAAUUUUUUUUAUAUGAAAAACUUGUUUGGUUCCGGAGAAAGUUGAGGAAAGUGAAUGGAAAAGAAAAUGUUGCAAUACAAUACCUCAACGGUGUUGGGGAAG
rnacentral:lncRNA from 1 species